rnacentral:rRNA from 1 species
AUGGCGUCACCACUCGCCGCCUCCGCCACGCGCCAUGACAGCCGCAGCGCCGCCCACCUUCAUAGGCCGACACACGGCCCGGAGCUCCAUCGUGCAGCCGCCGGCAAGCGUCGUCACCACCGGCACGCCUCCGGCACGGCGAACUCCGCCCAAGACAACCAAGCUCAUGAUACCAAAUGUUGGAACCGCUCUCUUUCUCUCACUCGCACAAACGAAGGUGGAAGAUGGAGCACACAAUUUUUCCGGCACACAAACGCCUCCGCCGCACGAACGGCGCCUCGGCCGCACGAACGGCUUCACUUUACUAGGUACAUACCCGGGCGCGGCAACACACCGCAGCCUAACCAGAGGAGCUCUUUCACAGCCGACCGGGCGCAUACCACGGUCCCGGCGGAGACUACCUCAUCUCUGGCUCCUAGGCUCGGCUCAUACCGGCGCAUCUUGAUCAGUACAUUGAAGGGCUUUUUAUACCCAGACGCACACACACCUAGCUAG